ensembl:lncRNA NRP2-AS1 NRP2 antisense RNA 1
CUUUUUGCUCACCCCACCUGGUACUCCAUGUCGUAGCUGGGCAGGAUGAUCCGCCCGUGCUUCCACUCGCCGCCCUGGUCCUCACGGAUGACCCACAGCAACUUGCUCUCCUGGCUGGCUUCCCGCACCACCUGCAGCGCCACCCCGCGGCCGCCCGUGGCCUGGGACUGUGAAUAUCCUGGACUUGUCAGGGUAGAUGGGCUAGGAUUCUAGAGCCUAGAAUCAAUGCAAUACUCCCUGGACCACUGCUUUGCUGUUGUUAAUCCUGCUGACCUCAACUUUCUAGGUGUGACCUCUGCAAGGCCAAAAUCAGCACAGAUAACUAAAAGGCAGCUGUCUACAGAAGAGAAUUAAUAAUGGUGUCUGCUGAGGGAGGAUACACUGAUGCCAAAUCAGACCCUCAAAGAUCUUCUAAACCUAUGCUUCCCCUAUCAGAUCUUACUAUUACUGCUGUUAAUGAUAAUAAUUAAAGCUCAUUCUUGCAUAAUGCUUUACAGGUUA